CACGGAGUUAGCCGAUCCUUAUUCUUACAGUACAUUCAGCUCAGUAUACAUACUGAGGUUUAUUCCCGUAUAAAAGCAGUUUACAACCCGUAGGGCCGUCUUCCUGCACGCGGCAUGGCUGGUUCAGGCUUCCGCCCAUUGACCAAUAUUCCUUACUGCUGCCUCCCGUAGGAGUCUGGUCCGUGUCUCAGUACCAGUGUGGGGGGUCAUCCUCUCAGAUCCCCUAAACAUCGUAGCCUUGGUAAGCCGUUACCUUACCAACUAGCUAAUGUUCCGCAUGCCCAUCUUGUUCCUAUAAAUAUUUGAUCAUUUUGCAAUGCUGCAAUGUGAUUUUAUGCGGUCUUAAUCUCUCUUUCGAGAGGCUAUCCCCCUGAACAAGGUAGGUUACAUACGUGUUACGCACCCGUGCGCCACUCUCAUUGGAAGCAAGCUCCCAAAUCCCGUCCGACUUGCAUGUAUUAGGCCUGCCGCUAGCGUUCAUCCUGAGCCAGGAUA
rnacentral:rRNA from 1 species